rnacentral:rRNA from 1 species
AUUGAACGCUGGCGGCAGGCCUAACACAUGCAAGUCGAACGGGUGGCGGACGGGUGAGUACUGUCUGGGAACCUGCCUGGUGGAUAGGUAUGACUACUGGAAACGGUAGCUACUACCGCAUACCAUCAGAUGUGCCCAGAUGGGAUGAGCUUGUUGGUGGGGUACCGGCUCACCAAGGCCACGAUCCCUAGCUGGUCUGAGAGGAUGACCAGCCAAACUGGAACUGAGACACGGUCCAGACUCCUACGGGAGGCAGCAGUGGGGAAUAUUGCACAAUGGGCGCAAGCCUGAUGCAGCCAUGCCGCGUGUAUGAAGAAGGCCUUCGGGUUGUAAAGUACUUUCAGCGGGGAGGCGUUACCCGCAGAAGAAGCACCGGCUAACUACGUGCCAGCAGCCGCGGUAAUUC